GCAGUGGAAGCCCGCAAGGGCGACCGCGUACCUUUUGUAUAAUGGGUCAGCGACUUAUGGUUCGUAGCAAGCUUAACCGCAUAGGGAAGGCGAAGGGAAACCGAGUCUGAAUAGGGCGUAAAGUUGCGAGCUGUAGACCCGAAACCGGACGAUCUAGCCAUGGCCAGGGUGAAGGUGCGGUAACACGUACUGGAGGCCCGAACCCACGCCCGUUGAAAAGGUCGGGGAUGAGUUGUGGUUAGGAGUGAAAAGCUAAUCGAGUUCGGAGAUAGCUGGUUCUCCCCGAAAGCUAUUUAGGUAGCGCCUCGAGUAUUACUUCUGGGGGUAGAGCACUGUUAUGGCUAGGGGGUCAUAGCGACUUACCAAACCAUGGCAAACUCCGAAUACCAGAACGUAUCAGCUCGGGAGACACACGGCGGGUGCUAACGUCCGUCGUGAAGAGGAAUACAAUCCAGACCGCCAGCUAAGGUCCCAAAAUUAUCGCUAAGUGGG
rnacentral:rRNA from 1 species